rnacentral:rRNA from 1 species
AACGAACGCUGGCGGCAGGCUUAACACAUGCAAGUCGAACGGUUGUAGCGAUACAGCAGUGGCAGACGGGUGAGUAACACGUGGGAACCUUCCUCGGGGUACGGAACAACUCAGGGAAACUUGAGCUAAUACCGUAUACGUCCGUGAGGAGAAAGAUUUAUCGCCCUGAGACGGGCCCGCGUCGGAUUAGCUGGUUGGUGGGGUAACGGCCUACCAAGGCGACGAUCCGUAGCUGAUCUUAGAGGAUGAUCAGCCACACUGGGACUGAGACACGGCCCAGACUCCUACGGGAGGCAGCAGUGGGGAAUCUUGGACAAUGGGGGCAACCCUGAUCCAGCCAUGCCGCGUGAGUGAAGAAGGCGUUAUGCGUUGUAAACUGCUUUUAUACAGGAAGAAACGACUCUUGCGAGAGGCAUUGACGGUACUGUAUGAAUAAGCACCGGCUAACUC